UUUUUUUCUAUGCUACUUCCUGCUGGAUUAGAAGAGGCAAAAAGUGGCUGGGGAAGAAAUGUAGUGGUUAAGAGUUUAAGCUCUGGAGUCAGACCGACUCAUGUUUGAAUUCUAAUCUUGCCUUUUCCUAUUCAUACAGCAAUAAGCAAGUUUCUUAGCGUCUCUGAUCCCAUUUCUUCAUCUGUAAAGUGGGAUAACAAUACCUCCUAGGCUUGUUGUGGGGUUUAAAUGACAAAAUAGAAAUAAAGUAUCAGCACUGUGCUUGUAUAAUGAAUAAUGGCAUAUAUACACCGUGUAAUAAUAUGCAGCCAUUAAAAACAUAGUAAGUGUUCACUAAAUGUGAUCUGUUUUUAAUGCAGUAUUUAUUUAACUUAACUAACUGCAAUUUAAUUUAUCUAAGGGGAUUGGAAUACUGUUGUCCUAGUCAACGUGGGCUGCUGUAACAAAGUACCACAGACUGGGUGACUUGAAAACAACAGAACUUUAUUUCUUACAGUUCUGGAGACAUACUCAGGUGCUGGUGAGGGGCCUCUUCCGGGUUGUAGAAUGAGGACUUCUUGGAUCCUCACAUGGUGGAAAGAUGUGAAUAUGCAUCAUUUGGACAAUGAAGAAAGGCAAACCACCAAAGGCAAAAAGAGAAAGAAGGACCUCCAGAAUGGGAGAAUAAUUCCUCACUCGUCAGGAAAGGGAGAAUAUCCCCAGCCCCAUUUCAAGCUGUCAUCAUGAGCAGUAGUGGAGGAGUAGAUUUGCCAGACGGCUGUCAGCGCUGACACUGGGCAGUGUCAGCAGUGGGCCCGAGCUACCGUUGGUGGAGUGACUUUUCUCUUGCUGAACUCCUGGGUUCCCUCCUACUGUUCUGAACCAAUGACACAAGCUCUAGGAAACAGGUAAGUUACUCAUCAGCCACUGCUUCUUUUAGCAAAUGGUGAGAAUGAGCAAGAUCUCUCUUUUUAAGGCUUACCUGAACCCACUCAUGGAAAUUGGGGUAGGUGUAUAGGGUUUGUUUCAAGGUGAUUGUACUCAGGGAGGAGUUUUCUGUGAGCAACACUGGAAAUUUGGUUUCUCUCCUUCAUUACCAUAGACGGUCUCUCUAUAGACCAUCUCCCUCAAUGACAAACUGUCAAUAGGCUCUCAUGAUA
rnacentral:lncRNA from 13 species